GAGUUGUUAUACAUAAGACAAUUUAGGGAAACAACUGAAUAGACGGGGGGUUCAAGCUAAUAAAGACUAAUUCCAAACAGGCCAGGGACAGGGUAGGACAAGGAAAGUGCUGUGGGACCUCACUCCCAUGUGAAAUGUGGGACACCUGCAGACUUAAUCUGCUGCUGCAUGAGCAAAGGAACAGGCAGAAAAAGCAUUGUGAAAAAUCUGGCACUGGAAUUCCACACAGCAUGCACUUGUCUGCCACAUGCAGUGAUGAAAAUUAUGAGUCAUUCUUCAUCUGGCCAUAUUUCUACUGAUUGCAUCCAGGGGGUUUCAGUACUUUCUCCAGUUGUCAUCCCUCCUCCUGUUUUGGAAGUGCAGACACUUGAAUAUCAAACUAAGGCCCAUUAGCAAAAAGCUUUUAUUCAAAAACUUUGUAACUAUAUGAAGAUUCCUUAAGGGUAAAACUCCAAGACUUUAGGGUUACAGGCUAACAACCAUUAUGCAUUACACUUUUCUGUCACAUCAUUGUCCUUACUCAACUGUAAUGUUUAUGAUGUCUUGAUUUUUUCCUAAGGCAUUACACUACCUCAUUUUGCAGAUAUGGUUUACAUUUCUCCAUUCUACAAGUAUAUUUGCAUUUGAGUAAAGAAGAACUUUAAGUGAGCCAAGAUUAUACCUGAUUGUGCUCUUGUUGUAUCUGAGUCUCUGAGGACUGUGUGUUUGUAUUUAACUCUUCACAGUCUUUAUUAAUCCACAGACUUUAUCAGCUAUAAUCUCUUGUUGUUCUAAAAUCCCUGAUAAAGACGAAUAGCACUGACAAUCUAAGGAUGCACCUGCAGUUGAAUUCUUUUAGGCAGAUUCUAACCAAAGAAAGAAGCCAGGAAGUUUUUUUUCGUAAAAGACAUGUUAAUCGGUAUUAAUUAUACUCUAAAAUUUUUGUGUUUUAACAGAGAAUCCUAAAUCAGCUUUUCUGUGGUUAUAUUUAUGUUGCCCUAAUACAGUGUUGUGUAUAUGCACAACAUGCAUACAUGCCUUAUGUCAUCAUACAGUGUUACUUCAUUAUGAUUAGUUUGUAGGGCUAAGGUAAAAAUUCUGCCCAAGUCUCUGUGCAUAAUACUUCUUUCAUCUGAUGUGUCUUGAGAGCCAAAUCCAGGCAAUAUGAAACUGAGCCAGGAAAGGACACCACAUGCAUUUCAGAUUAAGUGUUUAUGUUUAAGUAUAAAGGCUGAACAACCUGUACCUUUUAAUUUAUGUACAUUGCUGGAAUCUAGCAAUAACUAAAUGAUCACCAUAUUAAUGGAAUCACUGUUUGUUUGUUUCUUUGUUUGUUUGUUGUUUUCUAACAAUUGGAACUGACUCUUCCCUGCCGUUAGAGUUGUAAUUACCAACUCUUAUGACUGACACUGAUGUGGGUGUAAAAUUCUUUAAUUCUAAUACUGAAAAUAAGGGGAUGAGUUAGGUAGGAAGGUGACACUCAGUAUGAAAAACCUGUUAUAAUAAGGCCCACGGAGCCAAAGCUAUCAUAAUGUUUCUAUAGUGUUUCAUUUCCUAUUUUAAUGGAGCAUUUCACUUUGAAUCCAGUUCCAUCUUUUUGUGUGUCUGAGACACUUCAUACUCUGAGGACACAGAAAGGCUAUGUGCGGGUAGUAGAACUGAAGUCAGCUUCAGACACUCAGAAUAAGAAAUCAAACUGAAACUACAUCCUGGCUUCACAUGCACCCAAAACACUCUCAUCACAGGAAACAGUGUUAAAGACCAUCACUGUGUGAUAGCUUUGACCACUAACAUCUCAGUUUCCAAAUAGCCUCUUCUCUCUUCUUGGGACUCCCAGCUUUUUCACACACUGUGCUGCACUGAAGAAACAGAUGCAGAAAUUGAAGCUCUUCACAAAGGAAAGAACGUAUGAAAAGGAAUGAGUUCCUCAAAACCUGUGCAGCUGUAUAGCAGCUAAGAGAAACUUACCAUAGAAACUGUCCAUAGAAAGUACCAAACAUCCCAUUAAACUGCUGCUUGUGGUAUUAACCUUCUUUAAUCACACCCAGAGCUUCAGCACUUAGAGCAGAACUGUGCAUAGAACACUGCAAACACUUCUCUUGUGUUCUUGGGGAACCUUCUCAAACAACUUCCAUACAUGAAGCGACAAAAAGGUCACCUACAUUCUUUGAGAAUGUUAUUUAUCAUGAACUUCAGGACACUGAAGUUGUCUUGGUGUAAAACUUGUGAGUUUGACCCUUGCCUUUCCUAACUUGUGAAAGGGAAAUACUGAUACCUCUUUGGUAGCUAACAUAACAUGUAAGAGGAAGAUCCCAUCUUCCUUUCAUGUCCAGAUAUUCUGUGUUCAACAACCUCAGGAGAAAUCAAAGUCCAUAUAACAGUACUCUGUAAUUUCCAUGCCUCUCCUGUGUGAACUCAAAGAGAAACUAGUAAAAAACCCCAAAUAAGUCCAUCUUUUUGGAACCCAUGUACUCUAUGUAGUCAAAAGUAAGUUUCAGGACAGGAUGAGAAAAAGAUACCCAUUCUUAUCUUGCUAAAAUCUUCAGUGCUAUCCUGAGAUGCUGUAUUACUCUGUCCUGAGAUGCUAAUACCAGAAAUACGUGGCAAACUGAAGUGAAAUCUUAUGGGAACCAGUACUUUGGCUAGGGCCAGUUCUCCCCAGCCCUUUUCAAAAUAGUAAAAUAAAUUGGACUCAUGUGCAAGGGUAAUACGGGCUCCAGUACUGACAAAGCUGAAAUGACAUGUCUCUAUUUAUCCCUCCCUAAAUGCCAGGGUAUCUUACUGCUUGGAUGAGAGACUGACACAUAGAUGAAGAACAAUACCUAAUUAUCAACCAGAGCAGAACAGAAGCAGUCAAAGGAAAAACAUUUUUAGCACUCACACCUGCAGUUCAACAUCCAUUGGCUGACGAUACAAACCCUGAUGAUCAAUUCAACCUGUAUUGGAAUAGAAUGUGAUUACUUGGCACAAACCUUUUAACUGACAACAAUGAUAAAUAAUGAUUUUUAUAAUCUCCCUUGAAGUAGGAAACUACCCCGUCCUGGCAGAGGGUGGUCUGGCUUCAGCUAUUCAUGUGUUUCUCAUACCUUGACUGGACUGCAGCAAUAAUGUAUACCUGCUCUCAAAGUCAAGAGUGCUUAAAAAAUUUCAGUUAUCUCAGAAGAGCUGUAUUGCAUCUUAUCAGCAACACACUCACUUGCAAAUGCAUUAGCCUGGGCUCCAGUCUCUACACAGUCCAGACUUAACUGCAAAGACUUAACUCUUAAAUAUGUUUAAGGUAUCAGACUGUAGCAUCUAAGCCAUCCAUUGCCUCGACCCAGAAAUUUCUAGUCCAAGAUUGCAUACUAAACAAAACUGGAACUGAAGAGCAAUGUAUAUCACACUACUUUCCAUUUCAAGUUCACUGUCAUUGCACCUACUUCAUCAUAAAUACAUAGCAACAGACACAUGUAAGAAAAUCCCUUCCAUAUCAGGGCAGUCUCUUGCACAUACAGGGGAAAAACUGUUUCUUCAUUUCACAUCCUAAAAAGCAGGCCAUCCUCCUCUUUCUUUCGCCUAGAGUAUGGCCUUUGGCAAAACCUUAUUCCCUUUGACCCCUGAUGCAGUGAUUUACUGAUAAGGUGUUGACCCCUUCUGCUUUUUUUUAAUGUAAAGAAAACCUGACAAUAAUCAGCUACUGCAAGGAGACUUAAACAUUCUGCAGGAAAAAGUGCCGGGAAUGUUAAAUUUCUUGAUGGAUUUCUUCAGUUUUCAUAAAAAAGGACCAUAAAAAAAAUCAUCAGGAUUUUUUAAGCAGUUACACAGUCAAAAGUUUUGCAUUUUGAAACAAGCAUCCUUUUGUAAAAGAAAAUGCUUUUGAGCUACUCUGCAAAUGCAAUAUCGGUUUUCAGUUUUACUGCAAAAUAUUCUACAUGCAAGAUCUGGGAAGCUUUCUGGGUUUUACAAAGGUUUUGCUAAGAACCUGCAACAACAUCUGCAGCAGCUGAUCACCCACUUCCUACUUUAUUCAUCAUGUGCAGAGAGCUGUUUUCUGCUUUGCUUCCCUAACCUGUAUAUUCAUUUAGAUACAAGCCAUGGUUUCAUGUUUCACAGUUAUGCUGCUUUGGAGCUGCUCAAAGUAAGCACGUAAACUUAAAACAUUACUGAAGCUCAGUGCUUUUGAUUAUGCUGUUGUCAGACAUACUGUAACAGAGACACAAAGAUUAUUUGAGACACUGCUCACACCUUGAAAACAAAGACCAUAGAAAGUUUUUGAUUAUUGCCCUCCUUGAGUCCAGACCCCACUUUAAGAAAUGCCUGCAUACAAUCUUUUCUUCAUUUUCUUUUCAUUUAUUCUCCUCACCUCUCCUGAUUCUGCUUCCAGUUAGAGGGUAAAGCUGCCUUUUCAGCUUUGUACAAAGGAAAUCACCUCCAAAAAAGGGGGGAAUUUUGGAGGAAGGGAAAAGGGUAAAAUGGAGACCUAGUACAGGUCCCCAUCCAGUUUAAGACUACUUUGCUGAUCAUUGCUCAUACAUCAUGAAAAACAUGAUCAGAGCAGUGGGAGAAUUUGUCCUUUUUUAAGCAGAACUUGUCAUUGUUCUCAACUGGGAAAUCUUGUUUCCAGAGCAGAUGCACAGACUACCUCAAGGGUAUUUCACAUAACACUUAACACCUAUUCAAUGCCCUAUUUUCUCAAAAUGACACAGAGGUGACAAAGUCCCAGACCACAUACACAGUAGAGGGUUUUUCCCAUUCUAUUUGAGAAUGUAGAGACAAACAGAUGAAGGAUAAACAGCACCUGAAAGUGAGCAUCUAAAUCUACAUUUAAGGUUGAGAGCUGAAAAAUAUUAAGCAUGCACAUAACCUUACUCCCAAAAGAAAACCCACAGUUUUCAUUCAAGGUCAUUCAGUAUGUAAAAGCUUGCAGAACUGAGCCUUAUGGUGACUAAAUAUGAGGUUAGAUACUCAGAAAGCUUCAUCUGGGCAGUGCUGACUGGCAUGAGGAAAGUGAUUUAAACUACAGAUGUGUAAUCAUACCCAGAAGCCUAUCCUUAUCUAAAGGGGAACCCAAAAUUAAUUCCCAGUUGAACUACAGGCGAAAGUUUUAAUUGUCUGAUAAAAAGCCUUGAUGAUUACUUCUUUUUUUUUAUAAGAAAUAUUUAUAAACCUAAGCCAGUUAAUUUUAUAUUGUAUGGUAUCAUUUCAUAUGCAAGAAAAAAGAACAGUAAUUGGAAGUAUUCAGAGAUGGAAGACAUGUAAGAUAGCAAUAGUUUAAAAUAAAUCUUUGGUAAAUAAUUUAUAUUUAAAAGAGAAGGCAAUAAAAAUGCGUACAAUGAUGCAAAGGCAAGCAAAAGAGAAUGUACUGGAAGAAAUUUACUUAAAAUAUGACUAUUUAUUUCCCAAACCAACAAAUUGAUGAAGGGGUUAAUAAUUUCAUAAACCCAUUGUUCAAUCUGAAAAAUAAUUACAUCAUGCAUAGCAUGCAAUUCUAGUUAAAAAUUAAUCAUAGGAGUAUAAACACUGAUAUAAAAAACAUCAGUUCCAUAAAAAAUUCUCAUGCAACAAAGUCUUGCAUUCAAAUAGUGGGGUUUUGCACAUUUUCUCUUCAGGAUCUGCUAACAAGGAACAUCAUUGUUCCAAAUGCACACAUUUUAGGAGGGUUCAGUUUCGAGUGGAAACCAAUGACCUCAGAUAUGUUCAUUAACAAAAUGAAAUUUUCAGGAUAAAAUUAAUUGUUAGUAUACUGCUUCAAAAGCUUCCUAAUAUCUUUACUAUGAAAUGCUUAAUGUUUUGUUUGUCUCUAUUAGUAUUGCAUAUUUACUUUAGUAUUUAAUAAUUAAGAUCAAAGCUUUCAGGAAUGACUGUCUGUUUCCUAUAAUGAACUAUUUGGAUGCUAACUUAAUUAAUCAAUUUACUAACUUGUGUGUUGUUACCCAUGUAAUGCAAUCAAAUGAUGAAGAUUCAUUAAAAGUAUUUCUUACUGUGAACCAAGAUAGGUCUUGGAAAUACUUGUUCCAUUAUUGUACGCAUUGUCUCAAAUUCAAACAUUAUGCAUGCUGUGUGGGUUUUACAUCUGUGAGCCACUAAGGAAAUAUUAUUUAAACCGUACAGAAAAAUUAAGACUUCCAAGCUCAAAGGGAAACUACAGUACGUAUCAAACUUCAAAUUUAUGAGAAAUAUAUGCCAAACAUUCUUGUAAUUAUGAGUAAACAGACUAUAGAGCAUUUUUUUAGAGCUAGCUAAACACAAGACCUUUAGGGUUCAAGAAGCAUUUUCCAAAACAGUACCAGCAAUGUGUCCAGAACUUCAUCACCACAAUAUUUUUGCAUAUUUGGAAAUUUAUUUUUUUUUUCCAGCUUUACCAUAAAGCUGUCUAUAAAGUAAUUUGAUGUGCUGGAUACACUUCAUUGCUACAAUUAGUAGCAAAGUACAUUUUCAGCAAAAUAUGCAUCACCUUAAAGAAUGGGAAACUUUCAGCCAGUUCGUAUCAUUCUUAUCGAGUUGUAAAUUAAAAUUAUUAAUAUGAUUUGUAUUCACAUUAUUUUCUGGGAUACAGACAGGUUUCAGAAUACUUGCAGCUCUGGUACAGCAGAGCUACUUGCGUACUGUGACCCAUGUAAUGCAACCAAAUGAUGAAGGUUCAUCAAAAGUGUUUCUUCAUGUGAAUCAAAUUAGAUGUAAGAAAUAAUGUUUCAAAAACUAAAACAAGGAAACAUAAUUAAGCAGAGAGAAUUACUCAGUUCCAUCAGUUUUACUGGUUUUCUCUCUAGUAGUUUCCUUUUUGUCACCUUCCAUGAUAAAGUCAUAGCUGUCUUUUUUUUUCCUCCUUAUAAAUUCUUCUUUCUAACUAGUGUUCUCAACACUCCUUCACAAAGACUACUUUCAUAUGUGAUGUAAUCCCAAAGACAUUGUGUUAAACCAAUCAAGCACGGACCCUGCUGGAGGGUGGACACUGGCUUCUAAUACAGCAUAACACAUCAUGUGUUUCAUUCAGUCCUUUGCAGAAGUCCAGACCUAUUGAGAGAAUAUGUUAGGCAUAUACUUUGACUCAAAACAGAAUUGGCCUAAAACCAAUUCAAACUGCACGUCAACAUGUAUUUGGAAUUGCUAGUAAGUGAUCGUUUAGGCUUACUCAACAGAAUUAACAGGUGCAUUCACAUGGUUUAUCUUCCGAGUCCUAAAUUCUGCAUCUUAGAUUCUGAAGUCUCUGCUCAGGAAUGAUUAUAGCUGACUCAAGGGGAUUUAGCAUAGUCAACUGCAGGAACAACUCUAGAAUUCAUAUGCAGACUAUAACAAGUGUAUACAUUAGAAAAAUAAAUUUAUACGCCUCCAUAAUAUUAUAUAAACAACCCAUAUCUUACUGUUAAUUUUACUAGAAUCAGAUCAACUUGAAGGGAGCAAGUGUGCCACAUAACGCCUAACAAACAAAUAUAGAGAUAUUUAGGGGAAAAUCUAUGAAUGUGCCAAUUGCAGAACCUAUGACAAUUCUCAAAUGAGGACUGUCCUCUGGUCGUUUAUUGAUGGAUACAUUUUAUUCUUUUUUAAUUAAAAAUGUACAUUAUAUUAUUUGAAAGAUAUUGCAGACUGUUGUAGCUAAGGAAAUAAUCAAGGGCAAUGAGUUUAAAUACUUAUUUGCAGUGGUUUUUGUGUACUUUUGCUUCCUAAUGCACAACAGCAGCAAGGUGUACCCAGAACAAUCUUCUGCAGGAAAAUACUAAAUGUUGGUUUCCCUCAAGACUCAUUUUAUCUAGAACUUGGAUUAGAUUUAUCUAUUUACUCAGGCAGAUAAAUAACUCGUCUCAUUCAUAUUUCUAUCAGGAUGGUUACACUAAUUUUAAAUUGUGGGGAUUUAUCUUUUUCAGUGCCAUAUCAGCAGUUUAAUUUGUAGUUUUGUCUACAUAUUUUAGCAGAAUUAUAUUGCGAACCCUUGACCAAUUAAAGGUAAUGCUUCAAAAAUUUCAGUGUGGCAGGGUUUCCUCCAUAACAUUAAUAUUCUUUGCUAUGGAGACUCUUAACAAAAUCUGAAAAAUUUUCUUUCUGACUGAAGCAGACUGAAAGCAUGUAUCCACUCUUUGCUUAUUGAAAAAUUUAGUCUUACUUGCAUAUGCUAUAAUUAUGGUGCAUGUAAUUAUAGCUGGAGAAUGAAGAUGUGAGCAAAAAGAGUGAGAGAAAUUUAAUUCAACUGGGCUUUUGGAACUUACAGGUUGAACUAUUGAAAGAUGGCCAAAGAAAUAAUAUUGAAAUUAGAAAGGCAUUAAAACUUCUUUUUUAAAACUGACCUUAUACCAAUCCCAUGAGUGAGACAACUCCUUUGGGGUCAGACCCACAUAGGUGAUGUCAUUGCACUUGUACCAAACCAUGUACAUUGUGUGGGAUUUCAUAUGCUGCGGUCUGAUUUUUAUGAUAAAUGCACAACUUUGACUAUAUUUCAGCUGAGCAUUGUUCUUUAGUCCCAGAACUUCAAAAAUGGAUUCUCCAUUUUCUUAGAGAUGUAAAAUAUUUCAGUACAAUGCUGCUGAAACAAGAAUCAUUUGGGUUCUUUCACUUUAGGAGAAGGAGGGAGAGGAAUGUCCUUAGAGGAAAGCUUUUACAUUUGUUUCCACUAAAACCGACAUACAACUACUCGUCCAGAUUUUGUAGCUGCUUUCAAGCAGAUCCAGCAAAGUUAAGUUCUUGGCAGAUCUGUGUAAUCAUAAUUUGAACUUAACUUCCACAGUUUUCAGGCAAAUGUCUGAGUCACCAAUAAUAAUAGACAUCAACAUCAUGAAAUCUAGUAAAAUUGUAGGUAAAAAGCCUUGAAGGUCUUAAAAGUCCCACAAAUAGUCUCACUUCAGUACAUUUUUGGUGUCACUUAAAAUUCAACAUUUUAGCUAUGUAUAGCAAAGUCAAGGCAUUAUGUUGUACAUAAUCGUCAUGCUAUUCUGAAAUUAUCAUUUUGACACUUUUUUGAGCUUUACGGGGUUUUAUGGUGUGCUACAGUUCACCUGUGCAGAGGCAUGACAUCAUUACAUGCAGCUACCCUCACCCCACCCUGAACAGUGUUGUUUGAUAUCAUCACCUACUUUUAGUUUUAUCUAUCUUAGAAACAGGCGAUUUGGCUCAAGUUAAAAUUAUUUUUAUCCACUUACACCUUAAUACUGAGCUGUUGCAUAACUUUAUCCAAUCUAGCACUGAGGUAAAAAAAGAAAAUCAACAUUGACCUUUUAAGUCCAGAUUCUGCAGUAAACAGCCGUGACAUCCUGUGAUAAAAAAAUCCCCUCUUCUCUGUAACUUUGGAAGCUGCUGUUUCAUCUUCACAUCAAGUAAGAGCAACAACUGACUGGCUCUAAGGGGCUUUGCAAAGACAGUUAAGACAUUGACUGUCCUCGGGAGUGGUGCUUGAUUGUUAAUCACUGGCAACAGAGUGUUGUGUUAACUUUGACAGUGCACCUUGAAUUCUAAUUCCUCCUGUCUCUCUCAACUCAAAUAGCCAUGUCACUGUGUGCAUACACAAUCCAUCACAGAACAGAACCUCAAUAUGUACUGCAGACACAACCAUAACCCAAAUUAUAAAUCAUGAGAAUUUUCUUACAGGUCUUCUUUUCUCCUAGAUUCAGUACAGUUUCCUUUUGUUUCUCCCAGUACAGCUCAAAAUAUUCUCCCUAGCUGAAGCCCCAGUGUUGAUCAUUCACGAGGCGUUCAGAGGUGUUUAGAGCGCUAGGGACUCUGAGCCUUCAACUGACUUUAUGUGGGUGGCCAUCUGUAAGCGCACGAUCCCACUGAGGUCAGCCCAGGUGCAGUUCUUCUCUGAAAGUAACGGUAUGGCUGUGGCCUCACAUGGAAAACUGUCAGCAAAACAACUUUCUUUCUCUUCUUUUUUCUAACAAAUCCCUGUUUGCACUUUGGGUGUUUAUUAGAAAACACUAUCAUUACUAUUAUUUUCUGAAUCUAGAAAGCACAUGCAUCUCAUUGAUUCUGAGCUGACGUAAAUAUGAUCUGGUCUCAGGGAAAAUUGCUGAAAUGGGACAUAGCACAGGAAUUUACCAGAGUGCCAUGUAUUCACAGGCCCAGACGGAAUUUCUUAAUGCCCGCUUUCACUGGAAAAUAGUAAUGCAUCAAUAGUCAAACUUUCCUCCGCAAGACACUUGUAUCUACAGAAGUUUUAUCAUUAAAAGCUUUUCAGGACCAGGUGAAAAUUUCUAACCCAAAGCAAGGCCAACACCAAACCAGCAUCCCUUAGUAUUCAUGCAAGCCUUAUGGACAUUUUAAAUCCUUCUCCCACAUGUGACUAAGACUGCUGCAUUGAAGGUAAAUCUUUCAGCUUCUAAUGUAAAAAGCCAUUUCAUGCCCAGUGAAUACUUGAUUAUGAAAAAAAAAUAAAGCAACUUCCAUGCGGAAAGGAUAACAACCAAAGAAAAAGGGGUGAAUUGAUACUUCUGAGAAAUCCAAGUUCAAACCCUUGCUGUAAAUCAGGCGAUACAAGGUUUUCUGCAACCCAGGCACAUGUCCCUAACACAAAUAUAACAACCACCAUGUGUGGAGCUUUUCUCUUCUCAAAGGACAGCACAAAGCCUAACUUUUGCCCUAGCACAGAUCAAAACCCCCAAAGGUUAGAUCUCAGAAAGCUUUGUUGGAUGGGAAAAUCAUUUCCAUUUGCUUGUUCUUUUUACUCAUCACCUGAAUCACAGCAGCAAAUUAAGCAAGUAGAGCAAGUUGCUGUUUAUCAGGACAAACUAAUGAGCAGGAAGAAUUUGUGCUGUGGGGGUGGCAUCUUCCUGACAUGACUUUGAUUCUUGAAAUGACAAAAAAAAAAAAAAAAAAAGAAAACAAUUCCAUUUAAUUGCCUUUCCAAA